GAUGAACGCUGGCGGCGUGCCUAAUACAUGCAAGUCGAGCGAACGGACGAGAAGCUUGCUUCUCUGAUGUUAGCGUCGGACGGGUGAGUAACACGUGGAUAACCUACCUAUAAGACUGGGAUAACUUCGGGAAACCGGAGCUAAUACCGGAUGAUAUUUUGAACCGCAUGGUUCAAAAGUGAAAGACGGUCUUGCUGUCACUUAUAGAUGGAUCCGCGCUGCAUUAGCUAGUUGGUAAGGUAACGGCUUACCAAGGCAACGAUGCAUAGCCGACCUGAGAGGGUGAUCGGCCACACUGGAACUGAGACACGGUCCAGACUCCUACGGGAGGCAGCAGUAGGGAAUCUUCCGCAAUGGGCGAAAGCCUGACGGAGCAACGCCGCGUGAGUGAUGAAGGUCUUCGGAUCGUAAAACUCUGUUAUUAGGGAAGAACAUAUGUGUAAGUAACUGUGCACGUCUUGACGGUACCUAAUCAGAAAGCCACGGCUAACUACGUG
rnacentral:rRNA from 1 species